rnacentral:tRNA from 1 species
UCACGGAUAGCUCAGUGGUUUGAGCAUUGGACUGCUAAACCAGGGUUGUGAGCUCAAUCCUUGAG